rnacentral:rRNA from 1 species
AUUGAACGCUGGCGGCAGGCCUAACACAUGCAAGUCGAACGGUAACAGGAAGAAGCUUGCUUCUUUGCUGACGAGUGGCGGCCGGGUGAGUAAUGUCUGGGAAACUGCCUGAUGGAGGGGGAUAACUACUGGAAACGGUAGCUAAUACCGCAUAACGUCGCAAGCCCAAAGAGGGGGACCUUCGGGCCUCUUGCCAUCGGAUGUGCCCAGAUGGGAUUAGCUAGUAGGUGGGGUAACGGCUCACCUAGGCGACGAUCCCUAGCUGGUCUGAGAGGAUGACCAGCCACACUGGAACUGAGACACGGUCCAGACUCCUACGGGAGGCAGCAGUGGGGAAUAUUGCACAAUGGGCGCAAGCCUGAUGCAGCCAUGCCGCGUGUAUGAAGAAGGCCUUCGGGUUGUAAAGUACUUUCAGCGGGGAGGAAGGGAGUAAAGUUAAUACCUUUGCUCAUUGACGUUACCCGCAGAAGAAGCACCGGCUAACUCCGUG